GGCUUGGUGGUGGAUGGUCCACACCUGUACAAUGUUCGCAAUGAUGGUUUAUUUGACAGGAGGUGCCUGUUCGAAUCAGGCCCGAGCCG